rnacentral:rRNA from 1 species
AGUGAACGCUGGCGGUAGGCCUAACACAUGCAAGUCGAACGGCAGCACAGUAAGAGCUUGCUCUUACGGGUGGCGAGUGGCGGACGGGUGAGGAAUACAUCGGAAUCUACUUUUUCGUGGGGGAUAACGUAGGGAAACUUACGCUAAUACCGCAUACGACCUACGGGUGAAAGCAGGAGAUCUUCGGACCUUGCGCGAUUGAAUGAGCCGAUGUCGGAUUAGCUAGUUGGCGGGGUAAAGGCCCACCAAGGCGACGAUCCGUAGCUGGUCUGAGAGGAUGAUCAGCCACACUGGAACUGGGACACGGUCCAGACUCCUACGGGAGGCAGCAGUGGGGAAUAUUGGACAAUGGGCGCAAGCCUGAUCCAGCCAUACCGCGUGGGUGAAGAAGGCCUUCGGGUUGUAAAGCCCUUUUGUUGGGAAAGAAAAGCAGCAGGUUAAUACCCCGCUGUUCUGACGGUACCCAAAGAAUAAGCACCGGCUAACUUCGUG